UCCUCGUUAGUCUAACGGCUAGGAUACUGCCCUCUCACGGCAGGGGUCGGGGUUCGAUUCCCCGACGAGGAG